AGUCGAACGAGCGAGAGAGAGCUUGCUUUCUCGAGCGAGUGGCGAACGGGAGAGUAACGCGUGAGGAACCUGCCUCAAAGAGGGGGACAACAGUUGGAAACGACUGCUAAUACCGCAUAAGCCCACGGGUCGGCAUCGACCAGAGGGAAAAGGAGUGAUCCGCUUUGAGAUGGCCUCGCGUCCGAUUAGCUAGUUGGUGAGGUAACGGCCCACCAAGGCGACGAUCGGUAGCCGGACUGAGAGGUUGAACGGCCACAUUGGGACUGAGACACGGCCCAGACUCCUACGGGAGGCAGCAGUGGGGAAUAUUGCACAAUGGGGGAAACCCUGAUGCAGCGACGCCGCGUGGAGGAAGAAGGUCUUCGGAUUGUAAACUCCUGUUGUUGGGGAAGAUAAUGACGGUACCCAACAAGGAAGUGACGGCUAACUACGUGCCAGCAGCCGCGGUAAAACGUAGGUCACAAGCGUUGUCCGGAAUUACUGGGUGUAAAGGGAGCGCAGGCGGGAAGACAAGUUGGAAGUGAAAUCCAUGGGCUCAACCCAUGAACUGCUUUCAAAACUGUUUUUCUUGAGUAGUGCAGAGGUAGGCGGAAUUCCCGGUGUAGCGGUGGAAUGCGUAGAUAUCGGGAGGAACACCAGUGGCGAAGGCGGCCUACUGGGCACCAACUGACGCUGAGGCUCGAAAGUGUGGGUAGCAAACAGGAUUAGAUACCCUGGUAGUCCACACCGUAAACGAUGAUUACUAGGUGUUGGAGGAUUGACCCCUUCAGUGCCGCAGUUAACACAAUAAGUAAUCCACCUGGGGAGUACGACCGC
rnacentral:rRNA from 1 species